AUUGAACGCUGGCGGCAGGCCUAACACAUGCAAGUCGAACGAGUGGCGGACGGGUGAGUAAUGUCUGGGAAACUGCCCGAUGGAGGGGGAUAACUACUGGAAACGGUAGCUAAUACCGCAUACCAUCGGAUUUGCCCAGAUGGGAUUAGCUAGUAGGUGGGGUAAUGGCUCACCUAGGCGACGAUCCCUAGCGGGUCUGAGAGGAUGACCAGCCACACUGGAACGGUGACACGGUCCAGACUCCGACGGGAGGCAGCAGUGGGGAAAAUUGCACAAUGGGCGCAAGCCUGAUGCGGCCCUGCCUGGUGUAUGAAGAAGGCCUUCGGGUUGGAAAGUACUUUCAGCGAGGAGGCGUUACUCGCAGAAGAAGCACCGGCUAAUUCCGUGCCAGCAGCCGCGGUAAUAC
rnacentral:rRNA from 1 species